AAUCUUCCUACGAUUUCAAGUUCUUUUGGAUUAUAGCACGCAAUAGACUGAUUAGUGUCCUAUUCACUAUCUCAGUUUGUCCAUUAGUCUGUUGAUGACAAAUAGUGAAAAACAGAAGUUUAGUGCCUAACUUACUCCAUAAGACUUUUCAAAAAUGACUUGGGAACUUAACAUCUCUAUGACUAACUAUCGUCUUAGGUAUGCCAUGCAAUUUGACAACCUCCCGAAAGAACAAAUCAGCAAUAUGAGUGGCAUCACCAGUUUUAUGGCAUGGAAUGAAAU
rnacentral:misc_RNA from 1 species